rnacentral:rRNA from 1 species
UCCGUAGGUGAACCUGCGGAAGGAUCAUUACAGAAAUAGGAGAAGGUUGCUUAACUGCAAUCCUUUUCUUUCUACACAUGUGUUUUUCUUUUUUUUGAAAACUUUGCUUUGGUGGGCCCACGGCCUGCCAGAGAUUAAACUCAACCAAAUUUUUAUUUAAUUGUCAACUUGAUUAACUAAUAGUCAAAACUUUCAACAACGGAUCUCUUGGUUCUCGCAUCGAUGAAGAACGCAGCGAAAUGCGAUAAGUAAUAUGAAUUGCAGAUAUUCGUGAAUCAUCGAAUCUUUGAACGCACAUUGCGCCCUUUGGUAUUCCAAAGGGCAUGCCUGUUUGAGCGUCAUUUCUCCCUCAAACCUUCGGGUUUGGUGUUGAGCGAUACGCUGGGUUUGCUUGAAAGAAAGGCGGAGUAUAAACUAAUGGAUAGGUUUUUUUUUUCCACUCAUUGGUACAAACUCCAAACAUUCUUCCAAAUUCGACCUCAAAUCAGGUAGGACUACCCGCUGAACUUAAGCAUAUCAAUAAGCGGAGGAAAA